ACGCUGGCGGUAUGCCUAACACAUGCAAGUCGUACGAAAGUUUUUAACUUUAGUGGCGGACGGGUGAGUAACACGUGAGAAUUUGCCUUUUGGAGGGGGAUAACAAUUGGAAACGAAUGCUAAUACCCCAUAUGCUUACUUAGUGAAACGGAUUUUUAUCCGCCAGAAGAGAAGCUCGCGGCUGAUUAGCUUGUUGGUAAGGUAAGAGCUUACCAAGGCGACGAUCAGUAUCUGGUUUGAGAGGACGAUCAGACACACUGGAACUGAGACACGGUCCAGACUCCUACGGGAGGCAGCAGUGGGGAAUUUUCCGCAAUGGGCGAAAGCCUGACGGAGCAAUACCGCGUGAGGGAAGACUGCCUAUGGGUUGUAAACCUCUUUUUUCAGGGAGGAAUCAAUGACGUGUACCUGAAGAAUAAGCAUCGGC
rnacentral:rRNA from 1 species